rnacentral:rRNA from 1 species
UACGUAGGGGGCUAGCGUUGUCCGGAUUUAUUGGGCGUAAAGAGCGUGUAGGCGGUCUGGUAGGUCCGUUGUGAAAACUCGAGGCUCAACCUCGAGACGUCGGUUGAAACCAUCUGGCUAGAGUCCGGAAGAGGAGUGUGGAAUUCCCGGUGUGAGCGGUGAAAUGCGCAGAUAUCAGGAGGAACACCGAUGGCGAAGGCAGGUCUCUGGGCCGAUACUGACGCUGAGGAGCGAAAGCGUGGGGAGCGAACAGG